AGUUGAGAACCGUUACUUGACUGGUACCUCCAGCCCACCAGCAGGCAAUGAUGGCAUCAGACUAGAGGAUCACCAGUAAAUCAUUGUAAACAAGCGUGGAAAGAGAGAAAGUCCACUUUAAGCGAUGGAAAAUCAGCCCCAAUUCUGAAGGAACAACCAUGAACAGAUGAUUUAAGGAGAAUCAAUUCUUUGCUCUUUGCAGAAGGAGCCAACAGAGUGAGAUGAAGGGGACAACUUCAGAUACUCAGGCAGAAGCAUAAGUCCCCACCUGCUGACCUGCUGCCUGCUAUCUUAACACGAAUUCUUCAUCUGAAUGGAUGAGCUUUUCACAGAGUUCCAAACUAAGGAAUCCAGGAGUGGCCAAUCCAGAGAUUCAUUCCUUAUCUUUGACGAACAUCUGAACUCCUGGCUCAUCCUGUGGAAUUCAGGCCAUACAGGAGAUCAAGGUCAUUUGCUUUGGGUUAAAUGAAUGUUGCCAGGUGGAGGUUGCUAGAGGGAGAGUGCUAUGUGAAAGUGCUGUAUAAACUGCUUGCUUUUCACAAACAGUAGUGAUUCUUUAUCCUGUCCAGCCUGCCACAACUGGACCAUCCUGUAUGUAAGUCCCCUUAAUAAAUCCUGUGUCUCAUUCACUGGCUUCAAGUCUCUUCCUGGGCCUCUUGAACGUGGUGCCACCUGUAUUGAAGUCAACAGAAGUUCAGCACAACACAGGUCAAAAUGAAGAUUCUGACUCAGUAGGUCAGGAUGUUCUAACGAGCUCUAGCUGACAUGAUACGUCAGGGCUGCAGACUAGCUUUGAGCAACAAGG
rnacentral:lncRNA from 1 species